rnacentral:tRNA from 1 species
UCCGAAUUGGCGUUAGUAUAUUGGAUAGUAUCCCCGCCUGUCCCGCGGGAGACCGGGGUUCAAUUCCCCGACGGGGAG